rnacentral:rRNA from 1 species
UACGGGGGGGGCAAGCGUUGUUCGGAAUUACUGGGCGUAAAGGGCUCGUAGGCGGCCAACUAAGUCCGACGUGAAAUCCCCAGGCUUAACCUGGGAACUGCGUCGGAUACUGGAUGGCUUGAAUUCGGGAGAGGGAUGCAGAAUUCCAGGUGUAGCGGUGAAAUGCGUAGAUAUCUGGAGGAAUACCGGUGGCGAAGGCGGCAUCCUGGACCGGCAUUGACGCUGAGGAGCGAAAGCUAGGGGAGCAAACGGG